UGCGUAGGCGGAAUAUUAAGUCAGUGGUGAAAUCCUGCGGCUCAACCGUAGAACUGCCAUUGAUACUGAUAUUCUUGAAUGUAGUUGAGGUAGGCGGAAUGUGUAAUGUAGCGGUGAAAUGCUUAGAUAUUACACAGAACACCGAUUGCGAAGGCAGCUUACUAAGCUAUGAUUGACGCUGAUGCACGAAAGCGUGGGGAGCGAACAGGAUUAGAUACCCUGGUAGUCC
rnacentral:rRNA from 1 species